rnacentral:rRNA from 1 species
CCAUUGAUAGCUUGCUAUCAAUGGUGUAGAGUGGCGCACGGGUGCGUAACGCGUGAGCAACCUACCUCCAUCAGGGGGAUAGCCUCUCGAAAGAGAGAUUAACACCGCAUAACAUCAACAGUUCGCAUGUUCAGUUGAUUAAAUAUUUAUAGGAUGGAGAUGGGCUCGCGUGACAUUAGCUAGUUGGUAGGGUAACGGCUUACCAAGGCGACGAUGUCUAGGGGCUCUGAGAGGAGAAUCCCCCACACUGGUACUGAGACACGGACCAGACUCCUACGGGAGGCAGCAGUAAGGAAUAUUGGUCAAUGGGCGGAAGCCUGAACCAGCCAUGCCGCGUGCAGGACGACUGCCCUAUGGGUUGUAAACUGCUUUUGUCCGGGAAUAAACCUCUUUACGUGUAGAGAGCUGAAUGUACCGGAAGAAUAAGGAUCGGCUAACUCCGUGCCAGCAGCCGCGGUAAUACGGAGGAUCCGAGCGUUAUCCGGAUUUAUUGGGUUUAAAGGGUGCGUAGGCGGCCUGUUAAGUCAGGGGUGAAAUACGGUGGCUCAACCAUCGCAGUGCCUUUGAUACUGAUGGGCUUGAAUCCAUAUGAAAUGGGCGGAAUAAGACCAAG